GUAUUUGGGUAAACCUGCUCUUUGUGGUCAGAGCCCAGAAGAUAAGCGAGGUUGGGCCUGGUUAGUACUCGGAUGGCAGAUCACUGGGAAUACCAGGUGCCAUAGUGGU
rnacentral:rRNA from 1 species